AUCAAAGGAUGGUGACAUGGAUUGAAUUUCAUCAAUCUUGUCGGAUACAAUUCAUUUCCAGUUGUUGGUUGGAAAUUUUAUUUUGGAGUUCGGAAAUGAUUUGUAUCCGACAAGGUUGAUGAAAAUCAAGUCACAUCACGACCCUUUGAU
rnacentral:pre_miRNA from 1 species